rnacentral:rRNA from 1 species
AUUGAACGCUGGCGGCAGGCCUAACACAUGCAAGUCGAACGGUAACAGAAAGCAGCUUGCUGCUUUGCUGACGAGUGGCGGACGGGUGAGUAAUGUCUGGGAAACUGCCUGAUGGAGGGGGAUAACUACUGGAAACGGUAGCUAAUACCGCAUAACGUCGCAAGACCAAAGAGGGGGACCUUCGGGCCUCUUGCCAUCGGAUGUGCCCAGAUGGGAUUAGCUAGUAGGUGGGGUAACGGCUCACCUAGGCGACGAUCCCUAGCUGGUCUGAGAGGAUGACCAGCCACACUGGAACUGAGACACGGUCCAGACUCCGACGGGAGGCAGCAGUGGGGAAUAUUGCACAAUGGGCGCAAGCCUGAUGCAGCCAUGCCGCGUGUAUGAAGAAGGCCUUCGGGUUGUAAAGUACUUUCAGCGGGGAGGAAGGGAGUAAAGUUAAUACCUUUGCUCAUUGACGUUACCCGCAGAAGAAGCACCGGCUAACUCCGUG